UACAGAGGUCUCAAGCGUUGUUCGGAUUCAUUGGGCGUAAAGGGUGCGUAGGUGGCGCGGUAAGUCGGGUGUGAAAUUUCGGAGCUUAACUCCGAAACUGCAUUCGAUACUGCCGUGCUUGAGGACUGGAGAGGAGACUGGAAUUUACGGUGUAGCAGUGAAAUGCGUAGAUAUCGUAAGGAAGACCAGUGGCGAAGGCGAGUCUCUGGACAGCAACUGACGCUGAGGCACGAAGGCCAGGGGAGCAAACGGG
rnacentral:rRNA from 1 species